UGCAGCGCAGACCCUCCGCGGCCCCGGGCCGAGGGAGGCACGCUAGGCCCUUCCGGUCCGAGCCGCCGUCGCCGGGAGGCCGGGCGACAAGCCGGGCGACGGGCCGGGCUUCCACCCGAGCCCGGGGAUUCGCGGCCUACCCUCGCCGGUGCCCUCUCGCUGACUCCGACACCGGCAGUUCCUCCGCCUCGGCCCCUUCGCCUGAGAAACUCUGAAGUAUUCACAUUGGAUUUGUCUGUCGAGACUAGAUGGUUGAGCAGCUAAUAAGCUACUGACAUCCAGGUAAGCACUGUCUUCUGUGAAGUCUCCUUCAUAAGCUCUUAGGAGCCAACCAUUUCGUUGGCCUU
rnacentral:lncRNA from 1 species